AUGGAUCGACUGUGCCGUACAAUCUUUCUUCUUUUAGUUAUAGAAGGAGCUCUGGUCAGUAGUGUAUAUCCAGAAGAACUGAACGUCUGUUUGGAACCAAAGUACAUUAAAGUCUGGGAAGGAGACUCAGUCACAGUCAACUGCACUUUUCAGCCGGGUGGAAAUUACAAACUGAAAUGGUACUUCAGCCCUACUUAUUUAGACUGUAACUCUGAAACAAAAGGAUUACUUGAAAAAUGGCACAAUAAAACAGAAAACCUUAGUUGGUCAAUAUUCACCAUUAAUUCCAUCAAGACCAAUGAGAGCGGAUGGUACUUCUGCAAGGUUUCGAGAGAUAUUCCUUUUCUUGAAGAAAAAUGCAGUAAUGGAAUACAGGUUCUGGUAGGCAACAUAUUUAGGAUCACUGCCUGCAUACAGUGGCGACUCAUGGAUAUUAAAAUAGAGGAGGCACCCUAAACUGUAGCCGUACCCACUCUGAUGUUGUUGUUUUGUUUUUUUUUUCUUAAAAGGUAUAGUUUGCCCAAAAAUGAAAAUCUGUAAUUAUUUACUCACCCUCAUGUCAUUCCAAAUCCAUAUGACCUUCAUUCAGAACACAAAUGAAGAUAUUUUUGAUGAAAUCGGAGGCUUUCUGACGCUGCAUAGACAGCAAUGUAACUGAAAUGUUGCAUUGUAUUCUUGCUGCUUAGUAAAAAUUAAGGUUGAACCACUGAUGUCACAUGGACUGUUUUAACUAAUUUCUUACAAUGUUUCUGGGUCUGGAAACAUUUCAGUUGCAUUGCUGUUUAUGCAGGGUCAGAAUUCAGAAAGCUCUCGGAUUUCAUCAAAAAUAUCUUCAUUUGUGUUCUGAAGAUGAUUAUAGGUCUUAUGGGUUUGGAACAACAUGAGGGUGAAUUUUUGGGUGAACUAACCCUCUAACUUAACUUUUUUUUUUUUUACCUGUGCUUGAUCUUUACUAUAACGAUUAAAAUAGAUUUUUGCUUGGUGCAAUGCUGAAAAAAGUUGCUUGUAG
rnacentral:lncRNA from 1 species